rnacentral:lncRNA from 1 species
AGACGCAAGUGCGGCUGCCGGGGACGCGGGCUACGCGUGGCUCCUGUCCUCCCGGCGCGGGUCGCGAGCUGCUCUGCGCUCCCAGCCCCCACCGUUCGGUCGCUCGCCCGGCGCCUGGCGCUGCCUCCGCCUCCACAGCCUCCCUUUUCCCAGCUCUGCGUCUGGCGCUCGGGCGGCGCAUCCGGGUAUUUAGCGGCGGCGGGCGGACCGCGGUGAGGACUGGGCUGCUGGCUGCCUGCUCCCGGCCCGGAAUGGCGCCGCGCUGCCGCCAUCUGUGUUUCUUCCGCCGAGCAAACUCGACCUUUCCCGGCGGCCCGGGCCUUCCCGCUGCCCGCCGUCUCUCGAGGUCUCUGCCCGGCUCCCUAGGCUUCCCUUCUGGGGACCCUGGCGCCCCGGCCGCCGCCCCCCGCGCCCGCCACGAGCCUCAAACGGCGCCGAGGAGCGCUGGGGCGCCGGCACAUUUCCCCUUUGCGGGGGGCUGGCUCUGCGGAGCCGGGGAGCCCCGGGGCUUGAGACCCCCCGUCGGAAAGCUCCCCCCUGGGACUACCAGGAGCCCCACUCCCGGAUGCCUGCGGGGUCCCCCAACCUGGCGGAGCGGCUCAGAAGCGGCCCCAACUAACACACGCGGCCCUGAGCUGGGCGACUCCCAGCCGGGCCGAGUCGGGACAAGGGGGGAGGGGUCGCCUCCCCAGGGUCCGGUCACCUCUCGGGGGUCACCCGACCACAGCUCCUCUGACACCCCUACCCCCUCUCUGCCUGCGAGGCCCUCAAGGAAACUUUCCCUGAAAGAGUUGGAAGGGCACUUUCAAACUUUGUCCCUUCCCCCUCUUGAGUCGCCUUCUCCCCUCGAUGCACCCCCGGACCUCGGCGAGUUGAUUGCUCUCUGAGCCCGAGCCCCCCAAAGCUUCCUGGGACCCCUGGAAGAUGCGGACAAGCCUCCCGGGCGGCCUGCUCUCCUCAAAGACCCCCCACAUCUCCCAUGUAUCUGAGUAUGAGUUCAUUUACAUGCCUGCCUUGUUAGCUAGGGAGUUUUGGGGAUGUAAGAAGCAGGACCACCACCCCCCAGGCCCACCCUAGGGGUGAAGGUCCCCUCUCCCACUGGCCUCUUCAAGGUGGGGUGUGGCUUGAUGUGUGUGCAGUCUCUAUCAUAGGUGCUGUCCAAUGGCUCUGAUCAGACAUCCUGGGGACCCUUAGGAUGCGCAGAGGCUCCUUGUGCUUUUAGAGACUUGGAAAAAUGGGGCGCAGCGGGAGAAGCCGAGGAGAGAGUUCUCCUUUCCCUGGUCGUGACUUAGGUGUAGGAGGUUUGCAGUCCACCAGGGAGCCGUGGUCCCGACCACCGCCAUUUUGCUGGGAAGAUGCCAUGUCUUUGUUAAAAUGUAUCCAUCUUUCCCGCCCUGCUUGGCAAAAAUCCACCAAGUGAGCAAGGGGCGCCACCAUCUGUAGUCCGACCUGGGGCUGUUGGGAGUCCUAGGCUCCGAGAGAGUUUAGAGGCUCCGAGAUUUGCCGAAGAGACCCCCAGAGAGCCCAGAACCUCUUGUCUGCUGCAGACAUCCUACUCACAAUGUUAGGACCUCUUGGCAGCGGCUCCGUAGGGUUCUGGUGGUAUUGCCUACCUGAGCUGGAUCCCCGGACCCUGGUGUUUUUAUUCCCUAGCAAAAAGGCACGAAAGUGUUUAAUUAAACAUUAACCUGGGAGUGGGGAAUUGUAGCUGAUCAAGAUGAACUAACCUCUGCUAAGGCCUGGGGCUGUUUGUCACACCAGAAGGAGCAGCUUAGAUGAGGGAGCUUUGAAUUUGGGGGAGAUGUGGGGAAAGGGUUACUGGGCUUGGGAGUCCCUGAGACCAGGCACACACACACACUAUAGGUUAAUCCAAAUGAUUGGAGGGGAAGGCCAGGUGCCUUCAUUACUAGCUUAUCUGGGUGAAGGGAUUGCUGUUUGAGGCCAGGUUAGUUCAAAGGUCGAGGUUUUUAACUCUGGUGCUUUCAGUGACCCUGAAGUUUCCUAAUUUGAAAACACAUUCUAGUAGGUUUGUUUGGGAUAUUUUGAAAACAGAUUCUCCUGGUUUCCACAAAGAUUUUAUGGAGAAGGUACCCAAAUGCACCUCUGAGAUACUACUGUACAAUGCCCUCCCCCGCGAAUACAAAUGAAACGGAUCAC